GACGAACGCUGGCGGCGUGCUUAACACAUGCAAGUCGAACGAAGAGCGACGGAAGCUUGCUUCUAUCACUCUUAGUGGCGCACGGGUGAGUAACGCGUAAUCAACCUGCCCUUCAGAGGGGGACAACAGUUGGAAACGACUGCUAAUACCGCAUACGAUCUAAUCUCGGCAUCGAGGAUGGAUGAAAGGUGGCCUCUACAUGUAAGCUAUCACUGAAGGAGGGGAUUGCGUCUGAUUAGCUAGUUGGAGGGGUAACGGCCCACCAAGGCGAUGAUCAGUAGCCGGUCUGAGAGGAUGAACGGCCACAUUGGGACUGAGACACGGCCCAGACUCCUACGGGAGGCAGCAGUGGGGAAUCUUCCGCAAUGGACGAAAGUCUGACGGAGCGACGCCGCGUGAGUGAGGACGGCCUUCGGGUUGUAAAGCUCUGUUAAUCGGGACGAAAGGCCUUCUUGCGAAUAGGGAGAAGGAUUGACGGUACCGGAAUAGAAAGCCACGGCUAACUACGUG
rnacentral:rRNA from 1 species